ensembl:snRNA U6 U6 spliceosomal RNA
AUUUAGUUCAUUAGUAAUUAGCCCAUUGGAAUGAUACGGAGAAGAUUAGCAUGGCCCUGCACAACGAUGCCAUGCAAAUUUGUGAAGCUUUCCGUAUUUUU